rnacentral:tRNA from 1 species
UGGCCUUUAGCUUCAUAAAGCCUGUAGAUUUCGGCUCUUCAUGUGUGACAGGUGUCACAAAGGCUUA